rnacentral:rRNA from 1 species
UACGGGGGGGGGCAAGCGUUGUUCGGAAUUACUGGGCGUAAAGGGCGUGUAGGUGGCCAACUAAGUCCGACGUGAAAUCCCCAGGCUUAACCUGGGAACUGCAUCCGAUACUGGAUGGCUUGAAUUCGGGAGAGGGAUGCAGAAUUCCAGGUGUAGCGGUGAAAUGCGUAGAUAUCUGGAGGAAUACCGGUGGCGAAGGCGGCAUCCUGGACCGACAUUGACGCUGAUGAGCGAAAGCUAGGGGAGCAAACGGGG